rnacentral:rRNA from 1 species
GGGGUGAGGACAGUGUCUGGUGGGUAGUUUGACUGGGGCGGUCUCCUCCCAAAGAGUAACGGAGGAGCACGAAGGUUAGCUAAUCACGGUCGGACAUCGUGAGGUUAGUGCAAAGGCAUAAGCUAGCUUGACUGCGAGAGUGACGGCUCGAGCAGGUACGAAAGUAGGUCUUAGUGAUCCGGUGGUUCUGAAUGGAAGGGCCAUCGCUCAACGGAUAAAAGGUACUCCGGGGAUAACAGGCUGAUACCGCCCAAGAGUUCAUAUCGACGGCGGUGUUUGGCACCUCGAUGUCGGCUCAUCACAUCCUGGGGCUGAAGUAGGUCCCAAGGGUAUGGCUGUUCGCCAUUUAAAGUGGUACGCGAGCUGGGUUUAGAACGUCGUGAGACAGUUCGGUCCCUAUCUGCCGUGGGCGUUGGAAGAUUGAGAGGGGUUGCUCCUAGUACGAGAGGACCGGAGUGAACGCACCACUGGUGUUCGGGUUGUCAUGCCAAUGGCAUUGCCCGGUAGCUAAGUGCGGAAAAGAUAAGCGCUGAAAGCAUCUAAGCGCGAAACUUGCCUCAAGAUGAGUCUUCCCUUGGACUUUGAGUCCACUGAAGGAACGUUUAAGACUAAGACGUUGAUAGGCUGGGUGUGUAAGUGCAGCGAUGCAUUGAGCUAACCAGUACUAAUGAUCCGUGAGGCUUAACCUUACAACACCGAAGGUGUUUUAG